rnacentral:rRNA from 1 species
AUUGAACGCUGGCGGCAGGCCUAACACAUGCAAGUCGUGCGGUAGCACAGAGAGCUUGCUCUCGGGAGACGAGCGGCGGACGGGUGAGUAAUGUCUGGGAAACUGCCUGAUGGAGGGGGAUAACUACUGGAAACGGUAGCUAAUACCGCAUAACGUCGCAAGACCAAAGUGGGGGACCUUCGGGCCUCAUGCCAUCAGAUGUGCCCAGAUGGGAUUAGCUGGUAGGUGGGGUAACGGCUCACCUAGGCGACGAUCCCUAGCUGGUCUGAGAGGAUGACCAGCCACACUGGAACUGAGACACGGUCCAGACUCCUACGGGAGGCAGCAGUGGGGAAUAUUGCACAAUGGGCGCAAGCCUGAUGCAGCCAUGCCGCGUGUGUGAAGAAGGCCUUCGGGUUGUAAAGCACUUUCAGCGGGGAGGAAGGCGGUGAGGUUAAUAACCUCAUCGAUUGACGUUACCCGCAGAAGAAGCACCGGCUAACUCCGUGCCAGCAGCCGCAGUAAGAC